rnacentral:rRNA from 1 species
GACGAACGCUGGCGGCGUGCUUAACACAUGCAAGUCGAGCGGUAAGGCCCUUUCGGGGGUACACGAGCGGCGAACGGGUGAGUAACACGUGGGUGACCUGCCCUCAGCUCUGGGAUAAGCCUGGGAAACCGGGUCUAAUACUGGAUAUGACUCCAUGACGCAUGUUGUGGGGUGGAAAGCCUUGUGCGGCUGAGGAUGGGCCCGCGGCCUAUCAGCUUGUUGGUGGGGUGACGGCCUACCAAGGCGACGACGGGUGGCCGGCCUGAGAGGGCGACCGGCC